CGUCGAGAGCCUCAGAUGGUCUCCCGUGUGCCAGUAGGAGUGGGCGCCUUGUGCGGAGUGGUGGGAGGGCACCUGCCAGCUUCCUCGGGGCUGCCCGGCCACAGAGCACUUUGGCGAGCGGGAGACACUAGGCAGUGUGCUGCAGGUGGCACAGGCGUAGCCAAGGUAGCAGCCAGAAGCUGGACCACAAGGACCCCGGGACCCAGCCUUGCCCUUCUGGCCCUCUGUCCCUGGGUCCUUCACAAGAAACCUGUCCCUUGCAUUGUGGCCAUGAGAUCUUAAUGUUUAUCUGUACUCAUGUCCCCCUACAAGGUGACUGUGUCUCCCUGGGGCCACGCUCUUGGAGGGGACAGGCAAAGACAGCACGCAGCCAGUGUAGAGAGGGUGCUGAAGGCUUGGUGGGGCUUCAGGAUGGCUUUCCUGAUGGCUGCAGGGACCUGGUCUUCCCUGACCCUGCGGCCUGGGCCACAGUCUGAGCCCCAGGAAAUGCUCUUGAGAGUUUUUGCAAGGAAUCUCUGAGAUCUUUGGCAGAUCUGAAGCUGAAUAUAGACUGUUCGCCAAAAUGCUUUCCAAGACCAUCUCUCCAGAGUUUGUGGAGGCAUUGAAAACCUCUGCUUGGCCGACCACAGUGUUGGAGGUGAGUUCCGGGCUUCAGUGAAAACUUGGUUUUUCCAGUGAGGACAUCAAGGCCAGUUUUGUGGCUAACUCGGGAGCAUGUCCAUCCUGUUAGGGCAGGGCGGCUGGCCCUCUGGCUGCCCUGGGUGUGGGCUAAUUCCUGACCCAAAGUUCCCUGCGAGGGAUCAGUGGUUGCCCAGGUCAAGCUGCUGGAAUCUGGGGCCGUCCCAGCACCACACCAAGGAGAGCCUGAACCUGCGGCGGGUCUUCCAGGAAAGGCCGCGUUGUUCCCAGACGCAUCCCACGGGCCUGACCUGGACCCAGCCCAGGAUGAUGCUCAUCAGCACCCCCUGCCCAGGAUACUGGGAGAGACCAGGUAGAGAGUCUCAAGACACCAAAGCCUGAUAAAUCCCGAGCCCGCCAGGCCCCACCAGGCCAUAGGUCCUCAUUUCCUGAGGGCCACCUGUUAUGGUUUGGGUGUAAAGUGUUGUCACAAGCAGUUUCUAUAGACACAGUCCGAGGCACAGUUAGAUUCAACCAAACAUGAUUUAUUAUGCUCAUCACAAUUCAGAUAAGCAUCCUGAUUCUAAGUCCUACCUGAGUCUCCACCCAAGGGUCCCAGACACUCACUUUAACAUGUCUGAAGUCCAGGUCGCUGGGACUCAAUCUGGGUCAGAGGAGUCUGGCGCAGGGGGACCAAACAGCAGUGGAGGUCUCGGUCUCUCCGUCCAGGUCCUCUUAGUCCCACCGGCCCCCAAAAGUCUGGCUUUGAAGUCCUCGCUUUAUUGUGUUUGCAGCUGACAACUGGGUGAGGCCUGGGGUGUGGACUCUUGCAUCACUAACUGAAGUCUGUCUAGGUUCUGCAGUCCCCAUUAUGGGCGCAUUGUGUGCAGUCGUUCACUGUUUAACCAACCCACAUUCACUGAUUAACAUACUCAACAGUCUGCAGCAUUUCUGCACUCUAUCAGUGUUCCCCAAAAGCUCGCGUGUGAGGCAGCGUGAGAGGGACCACAGGGAAGAUCGCUG
rnacentral:lncRNA from 1 species